AGCUCUGUAAGCGUAUACCAAAGUUGUUGCAGUUAAAACGCUCGUAGUCGGAUUUUGGCGUGGUGCUACUGAGGUCCCUGAUUGGGCUCCGAGGUUAGUCCCGCCUUUGUGGAUGAGGGCGUGGUGGUGCUUAACUGUAUUGCCGCGUUUUCGCCACUGUUUACUGUGAAAAAAUUAGAGUGUUCAAAGCAGGCUAACAUAGCCCGAAUACAUGAGCAUGGAAUAAUGGAAUAGGACUACGGUUCUAUUUUGUUGGUUUCUACGACCGUAGUAAUGAUUAAGAGGGACAAUUGGGGGCAUCCGUAUUUCGUUGUCAGAGGUGAAAUUCUUGGAUUUACGAAAGACGAACAACUGCGAAAGCAUUUGCCAAGAGUGUUUUCAUUAAUCAAGAACGAAAGUA
rnacentral:rRNA from 1 species